rnacentral:misc_RNA from 1 species
UUUGCACUCUGGUGAAGGUCCAAUUCAUGCUGUGAAGUGGAGAACUAGCCUCGUUGCCUGGGCGAAUGAUACAGGAGUGAAAGUGUAUGAUGCUUCCAAUGAUCAGCGUAUAACAUUCAUUGAAAGACCUCGUGGGAUUCCACGCCCUGAGCUGCUGCUCCCCCAUAUUGUUUGGCAGGAUGACAGUCUUUUGGUCAUUGGUUGGGGAACAUCCG